rnacentral:rRNA from 1 species
AUGCUCUCUUGCGGCAAAUUUGACCAUGUUCUUUUUUAUGUGCAGUUGGACGAUGCCAGUUGUAGGCACACUGGAGGUAUUGGUGGUUGUCUGCUCGCACUUUCCAUAUGGAGCUGGGAGCGUUUGCCGGUUGGACGACCUAAGACCGUGAAGUACGAGGAUUGGGACGAUAAAGACGACCCACUACGGCUCCCCACUUGGGCUUACAAGUGGGAUGUGUUAAAUGAGACGAUGGAUGAUCCCUCGGUAAUGUACAAGUUGUACUAG